rnacentral:rRNA from 1 species
AACGAACGCUGGCGGCGUGCCUAACACAUGCAAGUCGAACGAGAAAGGGGCUUCGGCCCUGAGUAAAGUUGGCGCACGGGUGAGUUAACACGUGGGCAACCUGCCUCUAAGACUGGGAUAAACCGUCGAAAGACGAGCUAAUACCGGAUAAGACCACAGUUCCUGCGGGAAAAGGGGUCAAAGGUAGCCUCUGCUUGCAAGCUAUCACUUAGAGAUGGGCCUGCGCACCAUUAGCUAGUUGGUAGGGUAACGGCCUACCAAGGCAAAGAUGGUUAGCUGGUCUGAGAGGAUGAUCAGCCACACUGGAACUGAGACACGGUCCAGACUCCUACGGGAGGCAGCAGUGGGAAUAUUGCGCAAUGGGCGAAAGCCUGACGCAGCAACGCCGCGUGGGUGAUGAAGGCCUUCGGGUCGUAAAGCCCUGUCGGAGGGAACGAACGUUCCCGGGGUUAACAGCCUCGGGAAGUGACGGUACCCUCAAAGGAAGCACCGGCUAACUCUGUGCCAGCAGCCGCGGUAA